rnacentral:lncRNA from 1 species
CAGAUUUGAAGUUAAUCAAAGAAUUAAAUAUGCCUUAAAUUGUGUUUAUUGGAUAUGUUUCUCUUGAAACAGAUUUUUAUUAAAUGUGCAUGUUGAGUAUGUGCAGUUAUUUUUUUCCAUAAACUUCGGGAUCAAAUUACAGUUGAUACUUGCUCAGCUCAUUGUAGGGCAGCUUGUGAGAAAUGUAAUGGAUCAGAAGUGCAGAUCAGGUUAGUUGAAUGUUAACUCUUUCACUGCAGGGCCAGUUGUCAUCUGAAUUUAGUUCUUAAAAAAUAUUAUUCCCUUACUUUAAAAGUGAAAGGUUGUCUUUGACAUAAAAAAUAUGUCUUUAAGACAUAUUUUGAUUAAACUUAAGCUUAGUUAAAAUGACAGCAAGUUUUUUUUUAAUCAAAUAAGAAAAAGAUGUACUGUUAUUGACUGAAAAAAGAUUUUUUAAUGCCUAUGGCAAUUUGUUAGGCUAACAAAAGCUUUGAAGGUGAUAUUGGGCUUCAAACUAUUUUAUUUUUCUUUUGAGAAAACUGUGGCUAUGGAUCCAUGGCAUUUUACUAGUUAAAACAUCUUUAUUUAUUUCUCUUAGUUUGUUAAAAACUAGUAUUUGUUUACCUAGAAAGAACAUCUUCAUUUUUAGACAUUAUUGAGAAAAUAUGGAAAAUGGAUGUGAACAUUUUUAUAUUUUAUAAUUGCUAUGCACAUCUCUGCCAAUACUCCAGUUUUUAGUAACUACAAGGUAUUUAAUGUUGAUUCAUGUAGUAGCAUGAAAUGAAUUUAGAUGGAAAUAGAAUUGUUUGUGCCAGUUAUGACAUGACUUGGCAACAUUUGUAGCUUUUUAAGAUUGCCCUUCUUAAGUACUCUUAAAUCAGUGUCUAGCAAUUUAAAUUUUUCAUCCUUCUAAAAAUAGCAUGUAAGGGUUUUUUUCUAAUAAGGGCAUAUUUUUCUUUUUGAUAGAAUGUAAGUAAAAUUCAUCUAUCACUUUCAAAAAAAUGUGAUUCUGUGAGUUUAUCUUGUGUUUUCCACUAAUGGACUGUACACUAAUAAACAAAUGGAUCAUAGCACUUUUAAUUUUAGUUCAGUGUAGCUUACAAUGGAAGAAUGAAAAUCAUGUGUAUCUAGUGGAAAUUAUACUUUGCUGUUAUAAACCCUCAUUAAUAAUGAGGGAAAGGUCACCUUUUUAUAUGACAAAAAUUUGUGGCAAUAUGUUUAAUUUGGGAGAAACUUUAAAAAGAACUGAAUUCACAAUCAAGUAAACCUAUUUGUUUUAAUCCAGUACUUGAAUAUUCAAUUUUAUAUUGGAUGAGAAUCAUAUUUAUUCGUAGACGUGUCCUUACAAAAUUGAUUCAGUAUCUUCUUAAAUAUUAAAUGUACCAAAUUUAUAACUUAGGUACUAACUUAUCUCUAGGAACAAAUGAACAAACUAUCAUCAUAUUCAAAACUCCUAUUAAGUCUAACUUACUCCAUUGUCACAUAGUAUAAUAAAGUUUUUAAUGAAACAGGAAAUUCUUCUAUUUACUUUGUAAGGUUAACAAGUUUUGAAAUGUGACAUAUUUUACUUGAAGAAAUUCCAGUGACACUGAGAUGAAUCUGAUCCUUUAAUUUGAAAAGUGAAAUGUGAAACUAAGGAAGGUAGGUAAUUGUCAGUCCAGUCAUCUUCGAGUAAAGAAAAGUUGGUAUAUUACAACUCAAAAUGUAUUUUGAGUAUUGAACUCUUAUUAUUACUCUAACAUUUAAAAUUUGUUGGUAUGUGUAGGAGUUCUAGUGAUAUAUCUUUGUGUGAUUAUUAUGCUUUUUAAUUUUCUUUAUAAAAUCACAAAUUUUGACAACACUUUAAUGUUUUGUAAGCAUAGAUACUGUCAAAUUUGAAAAAUUUAGAUUAGGAAGUUUAUUAAAUAUUAAUAAUUUUAUGUAUUUCAACCAAUAGAAUGGGUUUACUUAUACUAUGGACUAGUAAUUUAUUCUGCUUUGGUUAAUCAGGUUUCUUGGGUUAUACAGUUUUGAUUGUCAAAAGCAGUUUUUUGCUUGAUUUUUAUCUUAAAUAACCUAAGAAGAAAUCAAACAAUGAAUUUAUGACAGCAAAGUUUUAUGCAGUGGUUUUCAGACUACUUUAUAAGGUGCUUCAGGAUUUUAAAAUACUUAAAUUGGAUUGAAAUUUUAAGUAUCUUUUUUUUUUUAAGAAAGAGUGAGACAGACAGAGAGAGAGAGAGUUUUUUUAAUAUUUAUUUUUUAUUUUUUGGAGGACACAACAUCUUUGUUUGUAUGUGGUGCUGAGAAUCGAACCUAGGCCGCACGCAUGCCAGGCCAGCGCGCUACCGCUUGAGCCAUAUCCCCAGCCCUUAAGUAUCUUUUAAAUUAUUUUAAAAAUUUAAGAAUACAGCUGCUUAUAACAUAUAUACAUAAUCCACCACAUUGGAGCAUACCACAGUUAUCUUUUGUUACAAGAUUAUUCUUAUGCAGGCCUUUAAAUUAAACUUGUUCUAUUAUCUUUGUUCAUAUAUUUAAACUUUUUUGUUGCUGUUAUCUACAGGAAAGAUUCUCAUUAAUUAUGAAGGCAUUGGCCUUUAAAAAAAAAUUCCUGUACAUAUCUGCUCAUGUUAAAUUUCUGUGAGAAUAUAAAUACUGUUAUCAGUAAUUGUUACUUUAUAACUAAAAUAUGUAUCAAUUUUUUUGUAUAUUUAUAUGCUUCAUAAUUUAAGUUCAAUAUGAGAUUUAAUUUAUAAAAGCAAUUCUGCUACUUCUCCCAGCUCCCUACCACCAAAAUUAAAAAAGGCAUACCUGCUAAUGUAGUGAUACUGGAAGCCAUAAAGAUGUGUUUACAAUUGAAUCUUAUAACAGGUCUUUUAAUUUUGAGCAAAAUAGCCAAUGUCCUUAAAACCUAGUUUUCUUUGGAAAAUGUGGAUAAUGUCUACCUGCUCCACAGGUGGCUUCAUAGCUCAAGGAAGAUAAUGUGUCUUAAGUACUUUGUAAAUCACGAAGUACAACUAUAAACACAAAAAGGAAAGGAAAAGACUAUAUAUUUAUACUUUUUCCGGAACAUCUAAGUUCUUUUUGUGUUGUUCAGUACAUGCUGAGUAAUAUGGUUAAUGUUCACUUUUCUCUUCAAUUUGUUUGCCUGCAUGAGAGUUAAAGAUUAUGCUUUUAGUUAGAAUGAUCAUUUUGCAUAUUUUUAUUUCUAUAUUUCAAUUCUCUCACUCCACAUACCCCUUAGUUAAAUGGUAAUGCAGUGCAUUGUUUUUGGAUUUUCAAAUAAUUAAAUCACCUCUGAUACUUCAGCAGAUAAGGGAAAUUGCUUUUUAGUGCAAAAAGAUUAUAAGGAUGUUUGUGCUUAAUAAAGGAUGGGGGUAAACUUAGCAUCAAGUACAGAUUUUUUAAUUAGUUCAGGAGAAGAGUUAUAAAACUAAAAGUCUUAAUCUUUUCUUCCCAUCUCUGUUCUUUUCAUUUUCUCCCUUGGAAAGAUUGGAUUAUAACAACUUAAGUUUGUAAUGAUCUUCACAACUGUAAGAGUACUUUUACAUUAUCUCUGACAUACAACCAGAAAGUCCACUUAAAUCUAAUGCUGUCUCUGUAAUAAACUAUUCAAAUUGUCUCCUGCAGUAUUAAGGUUUCCGUGGAAUAUCGUAGCAUCUGUGGAGUACCCAUAGGUACCUAAAAUUCUCCAGAUAAUAAUGAUUGGGAAUUGAAAAUUAGCCACUUUUUAACGUACUAUUGCAGAUCAAUUGGAGGAGAAGGAGAGUAGAGUAAGCUGGCUACUUUUAUUAUAUAUCUAGCAGUUGUUUGGUUAAUUUUUUUAAUAAGACAGUAUAAUAGUUCUCAAAAUAUGGUCCUCAGACCCCUGUGGGUAUCCAAGACUCUUUCAGAGAUCCUAGGAGAUCAAACUUAUGUUCAUAGUUUUUUUGGUCAUUUUUCUGUGUACAAAGCAAUGGGGGUAUAACUAUGCUGGCCCCUUAAUGUAAAUCAAGAUCGUGGCCCAAAAUAGUGAUCACUAUUUCCUUCACCACACAACACUGGGGGAAAAAAUUGUCACUUUCUCUGAAGAAUGUCCUUGGAGGACAGUGAAAACUUAAAUUUUGUUUAAAUCCUGACUAUUGAGUACUCACAUCUUUUUACCUGUUGAUGAAAUGGGAAGUUCAUAAAGUGCUUCUAUUGCAUAUCAAACUGGUUGUCUCCUGGGCAAACUUGGGCAGUUAUUUUAGUUACAAGCUGAACUAGCCACUUUUUCAUGGAACCCCAUUUUUACAGACAAAUGGUUACUCAGACUUGGGUAUUUAAUAAACUUUUUAUCUUAAAGAUGAGUAAUUUGAACUGAAAGUUCAAGGAAAAUAAUUGACAAUAUUUGUUGCUAGUGAUAAAGCUCAGCAUGCAAGGAAAAACUAAGUUUGGAGAACAUAUAUCUGCCUUCAUUAAGCUAGAAACCUUCCCAGUUCUUAAAGGUGCUCCCCUUGAGAUCAAGGAUGUUAUUAAUAAAUGUGAUUUUUUUGAUAUUGUGUAAUAAAAUGUGUCAACAUUUGGAAGAUCUGUACAACUCAUUGAAUCAGUAUUUUCUAAAUGACCCCUGUAUAAAGUCAUUGAUAAUCAGGGCCUUUCAUUUUUUUCACCAGCAAACAACCAGUUAAAGCAUAAUGGACACAAAAAAAUCUUAAAUCUAGCCAUUCUUUUUAUUCCUGGCAGUGCAUAUUGUCAUUUGUUGUCCUUGAAUUUUCAGGAUCACGUUACUCAUUUUUUAGAUGUUUACCAAAAUCAUACAUGUAAAAGAGCCAUUCAAAAUGCAAGAUGAACUAAAUGAUAUUAAUGUAAUAUAGAAUGUUAAGUUCACAGAUGUGGUUUCACAGUCCAUAUUGCAAUUAGCCUUGCAGAAGUUAUAGUUAUCAAGUUCUGUUGUAUCAAAGAGUAAUCAUCAUUAUCUACUUUUUUCAACUACAUGUCUGUGUCAGGCUAGAUUUCCCUCACAUACUUCAAUCAAAACAUAUCACAAUAGAUGAAUGGAAAAAAUCCAGUUGUCUUGUAAUAAACACACAUUAAAGAGAUUUGUAAAAAAAUGUAAAUGUCAAUCUGACUAUUUUGUUUUGGGAAAUAAAGUUAUUUCCAUAAAAAAUAUGUGACUUGUGUUAGCAUGUAAUGGAUGUUAUUAUUUUCAGUGAAUUCAACAUUUAAACUUUUCUCAACUUUAAUUUCUAUUAGUAACCCACACAUAAAUAAAACUUUUUUGGUGACCUCAAUUUUUUGAGUGUACAAUGGAAUCUGAGACCAAAACCUUUGAGAAUGGCUAAGCCAGAGUUUACUGACAGUAGAGAAUGGUAAAUAUAAAUGUAAUUCUAUGGAGAAAAUAAAAAGAAAAUGCUAUAGCACUGAUUAAAAAAAUGUGGAUAAGACCAACCCGCUUCUGUGCUGUGUGGGAAUCACUUGUAGACAAUGCCUAGCACCUUUUCAGUGACAUCCUAGAAGCUUCUCUAUUACCACAGUUAUGCGUUGGCUAAUUAGAGAUGAUAUUCUUUGAUUUUCAUAAACAUCCCUUUACCUGGAAGAAAUGGAUGGUGGGGAAUCUUUUGGAUCUGAAGGACUGUUCUCCCUAGUACUGUGCAAUAACUAAAGAAAUGUCAGAUUUAAACAUUAUGAUUGAUGCUUGGCUGCAAAGGAGAGAAAGACCCUGAGUAGUACAGCUAAAAGCUGAGAAAUGUGGGAGAAACAGCAGUGGAAGGGACAAAAUACAAUCAGACAAAAGUGUCAAUGUACGCUACUGAUAAUAAGCAUUCUUAUCACAAAAGCAAAAUCCUCAGUAUAGACAAAAGAUAGGAUAGCUCUGAAUAUGAUAGUCCCUAAUCAUCUUUCUCAAAGCUAUAAGGAACUUUCCAGUGUGAAGUGUAUGUGUCAGGUUUGUACACUCUACACAAAAGCUAUGGCAGCCUACAACUGCCUGCAGUGUGGUCUUGAAGGUUCAGGAUAAAGGUUCAUUUAUUCUAUCUGUUUAGAUUUAGUGAGACCUUAUGACUACCAAUAUCUAACCUGUCCCUUAGACAUCACUGCAAUGAAAAUGAGGAUGGGGAAGGAAGUGAAAUUUGCUAUAUACAGUAAAAUAUGUUAUCAGACAUUUAGUUAUGUUUCCCAUGACAGUUUCCUUAAACCCAUCAGUAGGUUGGCUAUAAACUAUUUUAAAAAAUAUAUCCAGAGUUCAUGUAUGGAAUUUUUACUUGUUCUUCAGAUAUUUUUUUCAAAACACUUGUGACAUCUCCCCAAAGCCUUUCCUAAUCUUCCAACUUUCUUCCUCCUUCUGCUUAUCCUCUAGAUUGCCAUGCCAUCCAAUUAUACUGUAUUUAUUGGUAUAUAAUAAUAAUAAUUUAGUUGUAACUAGCAUUAAUGAUGAAUUGUCAUAUUGAAUUAUAACUAACAAGUUAACACUUUUUUUCCGUAACAUAAAUUGUCUUAUUUGAGAUCUGGUUAAUGGAGAAUAUUUUUUAGCAAAGUGGAACUUUGAUUUAAAGACAAAUACUGGUGGUAUUUUUAUAUUGGGUACAAUAUAGUUGAGCUAAUACAAUGAAAAUUUCUCAUUUUCUACAAUAAGUUAGAUAUUUUUUUUAGGAUAUGAAAUCCCUAAAUUUUUUAGUUAUAAAUGGACAGGACACCUUUAUUUUGUCUAUUUACUUUUUUUAUAUGGUGCUGAGGAUCGAACCCAGUGCAUCACACAUG